rnacentral:rRNA from 1 species
GAUGAACGCUGGCGGCGUGCCUAAUACAUGCAAGUCGAGCGAAUGGAUUAAGAGCUUGCUCUUAUGAAGUUAGCGGCGGACGGGUGAGUAACACGUGGGUAACCUGCCCAUAAGACUGGGAUAACUCCGGGAAACCGGGGCUAAUACCGGAUAACAUUUUGAACCGCAUGGUUCGAGAUUGAAAGGCGGCUUCGGCUGUCACUUAUGGAUGGAUCCGCGUCGCAUUAGCUAGUUGGUGAGGUAACGGCUCACCAAGGCAACGAUGCGUAGCCGACCUGAGAGGGUGAUCGGCCACACUGGGACUGAGACACGGCCCAGACUCCUACGGGAGGCAGCAGUAGGGAAUCUUCCGCAAUGGACGAAAGUCUGACGGAGCAACGCCGCGUGAGUGAUGAAGGCUUUCGGGUCGUAAAACUCUGUUGUUAGGGAAGAACAAGUGCUAGUUGAAUAAGCUGGCACCUUGACGGUACCUAACCAGAAAGCCACGGCUAACUACGUGCCAGCAGCCGCCGUAA